UGCGCAGGUGGGCUGGUAAGUUCGAUGUGAAAGCCCCGGGCUUAACCCGGGAAAGGCAUUGGAAACUACUGGUCUGGAGGAUUGGAGGGGGGACGUGGAAUUCUUGGUGUAGCAGUGAAAUGCGUAGAUAUCAAGAGGAACACCAGUGGCGAAGGCGAGUCCCUGGACAAUUCCUGACACUGAGGCACGAAAGCUAGGGGAGCAAACA
rnacentral:rRNA from 1 species